rnacentral:rRNA from 1 species
AUGCAGAGCUACCCGGCCAUGAAAGUGAAUACAAUCGGAAAACUACUUCUCUUGGUGUUGGUGACUAUCAGUGCACAUUAUCUGGUCGUCUGCAGCUCCUCCUUCUUACAUGGAAACAAUACAGAUAUGUUAUCGCUGCUUGACUUUAAGGAUGCAAUCAGUCUCGAUCCACAACAAGCCUUCAUGUCUUGGAACGAUAGCACCCACUUCUGCAAUUGGGAAGGCGUACUGUGCAGGUUGAAGGCUACACGUCGUGUCAUUCCCUAA